rnacentral:rRNA from 1 species
GACGAACCGUGCGAACGUUGUUCGGAAUCACUGGGCUUAAAGGGCGCGUAGGCGGCCCGCCGCGUCCGGGGUGAAAUCCGCCAGCUCAACUGGCGGACGGCCUCGGAUACGGGCGGGCUGGAGGGGGGUAGGGGCACGCGGAACUGUGGGUGGAGCGGUGAAAUGCGUUGAUAUCCAGUGGAACUCCGGUGGCGAAGGCGAGGUGCUGGACCCUUUCUGACGCUGAUGCGCGAAAGCCAGGGGAGCAAACGGG